rnacentral:rRNA from 1 species
AACGAACGCUGGCGGCAGGCUUAAUACAUGCAAGUCGAACGGGCGCGAGCAAUCGCGUCAGUGGCAGACGGGUGAGUAACACGUGGGAACCUUCCUCGUUGUACGGAACAACUCAGGGAAACUUGAGCUAAUACCGUAUAAGUCCGAGAGGAGAAAGAUUUAUCGCAAUGAGACGGGCCCGCGUCGGAUUAGGUAGUUGGUGAGGUAACGGCUCACCAAGCCGACGAUCCGUAGCNGAUCUGAGAGGAUGAUCAGCCACACUGGGACUGAGACACGGCCCAGACUCCUACGGGAGGCAGCAGUAGGGAAUCUUGGACAAUGGGCGCAAGCCUGAUCCAGCCAUGCCGCGUGAGUGAAGAAGG